rnacentral:rRNA from 1 species
CUGGUGUUGAAGGCCCUGCAAAGCAGCAUCGCGGUGGCGGAGCGUCGUUUGCGACGCCCAACACACAAAACAAGCGGUGAGUGCUUUGGGGUGGGGUGACUGCGUACCUUUUGUAUAAUGGGUCAGCGACUUAUAUUCUGUAGCAAGGUUAACCGUAUAGGGGAGCCGUAGGGAAACCGAGUCUUAACCGGGCGUUAAGUUGCAGGGUAUAGACCCGAAACCCGGUGAUCUAGCCAUGGGCAGGUUGAAGGUUGGGUAACACUAACUGGAGGACCGAACCGACUAAUGUUGAAAAAUUAGCGGAUGACUUGUGGCUGGGGGUGAAAGGCCAAUCAAACCGGGAGAUAGCUGGUUCUCCCCGAAAGCUAUUUAGGUAGCGCCUCGUGAAUUCAUCUUCGGGGGUAGAGCACUGUUUCGGCUAGGGGGUCAUCCCGACUUACCAACCCGAUGCAAACUGCGAAUACCGGAGAAUGUUAUCACGGGAGACACACGGCGGGUGCUAACGUCCGUCGUGAAGAGGGAAACAACCCAGACCGCCAGCUAAGGUCCCAAAGUCAUGGUUAAGUGGGAAACGAUGUGGGAAGGCCCAGACAGCCAGGAUGUUGGCUUAGAAGCAGCCAUCAUUUAAAGAAAGCGUAAUAGCUCACUGGUCGAGUCGGCCUGCGCGGAAGAUGUAACGGGGCUAAACCAUGCACCGAAGCUGCGGCAGCGACACUGUGUGUUGUUGGGUAGGGGAGCGUUCUGUAAGCCUGCGAAGGUGGCCUGUGAGGGUUGCUGGAGGUAUCAGAAGUGCGAAUGCUGACAUAAGUAACGAUAAAGCGGGUGAAAAGCCCGCUCGCCGGAAGACCAAGGGUUCCUGUCCAACGUUAAUCGGGGCAGGGUGAGUCGACCCCUAAGGCGAGGCCGAAAGGCGUAGUCGAUGGGAAACAGGUUAAUAUUCCUGUACUUGGUGUUACUGCGAAGGGGGGACGGAGAAGGCUAUGUUGGCCGGGCGACGGUUGUCCCGGUUUAAGCGUGUAGGUGUGUGUUCCAGGUAAAUCCGGUUCACUUUAACACUG